ensembl:lncRNA LINC01608 long intergenic non-protein coding RNA 1608
GUUUCUUUUUCUGCAUCCGCUGCUCUGUUAAGUGAUCACCACAUUCAUUGUUCUCGUUUCUAUUAUUUCUGAAAAAAAUCUUCAGGAUUCUGCUUGUGGGAGUGGAUGACAUUUUUACAGUGUUUACAGACACAAAAUGAACAAGAUGUCUGUGGCAACCCUCAGACCAUUGACGCCUUCUCUCCUAUGUAUCAAAUCACACAUUUGGACGUUGACUGAACCCUCACAUGUCAGAUGCUCAAUAUUGAGGUAAACACAGUUGCCCCAUGAACAGCUGCACACAGUCUGUGGCUAAGAGUCAAUCUCUACCUUAUUUGAACUUUAUGGAUGAGUUCCUUACAAGACAUAGAAGUUUUAUUUACAGAAUAAGUGAAAUGAUGCUUGAGAAUAAAGACAAUAGGCAUCCAGUCCUGUCGGUAUGUAGACACGUAUUUUUUGUGCGUACAAAACUCUAAAUUGAGUUAUUCACUAAUACAGUUUUUACAAAGUUCAGAUUUUUAAAAUAUUUUUUCUGAUGAAAAAUACCUCAGGAUAUACAUGUAAAAAGUAUCUUUAAUGCGGAAAGAGGAAUGUAUAAACAGUUCUUUCCACUUAAAGACCUUUAAAAAAUAAACUUUGUUUCUUGUUUUUAAGGCCAAAUAAAGUUAUAUUUUAUUGUUGAUACACACAUCUACAUCUUUACUAUUGUGUUUGGCUAAAAUUGUGUCUUUGAAUUUUAAGUGAACUAGGCAAGAAAAAAAGUGUAUUCCUCAUUUCUAUUAUUAAUGAAAUAAAGACUGAAUGUAGAGGAGCUAGAUUUAAGACCAUUGCUUGAAAUGUCAACUAAUAUCAAUGGACCAUGGAAUGUGCAAAGUUGUAAAAAAAAGCUUGCUUUGAAAUCUACCAACAAAAUAUUAUUUUAAAAAAUCAUCCCUAAAUCACUCUAUAAGAUUUUACAGUGGCUUCUAGCAUAAAUAGACAUGCCACAUAUUGUCCCUCCUAAAACACUCUCAUUUUGUAUCACUCACAGGUAUAGUAAAAGGGAGCAUGAACUUGAGAAAAUACGCUUUCAACACAAAGCUGUAAUAAUAUAAGGUCAAAUAAGAUUCUGCAUUGGAGAUAGAAAACUCUGAAGGAAGGUAAAGCUGUUUUGUCCGUAUCCUAAGUGUCAGUAGCUCUGUGACUUUGUGUAUUAUUUAAAUUCUCUAAGCAUUUUGUUUUUCAACAAAUAGUUUUAAAAA